rnacentral:misc_RNA from 1 species
AUAUUAAGGUGAAGGUCAUCGGCAGAAGUUACAGCUGAUCUAGUUUAUUUCGGUUUUUUUAUAUGAUUGCUAGACCAUUCAUUAUCAAAGAAUUACGUUUACAUGGCUACAAAAAAAAAUAAUUAAUGCUACCAAACAAUAGUGUAAAAUUAUUAUUUUAAAGACAGAAAGAUUGUUUUCUUGCAGUCUGAGCAUGGAGAAAUUUAUUAUGUGGAGGAUAAGAUCGUGCCAGUCAAUACUACCAAAAUUUAAUGCAAAAGGAUUUAAUCAAUCCUACUCAAGUUCAUCUAGUAAUUACAAUUACAAAGAAGAUUGUGAGCAGAUCUUUCAGAAGGCUGUAGAUGCUGUUUUGCCUCACAACGCAGUCAAGAAAUUCCUACAUUUAAAUGAUAAUAUUUUAACGAUAUCCGAUCGAUCCUACGAACUGAAUCGCAACGUUCAUGUUAUAGCAGCUGGUAAAGCAGUUCUGGGUAUGGUGAGAGCCACCCAGGACGUCUUAGGCGAUCAUAUUGUUGGCGGUAUUGCGAGUGUUCCUUACGGCAUACAAGAAACUCUAAAAAAGUCUGGAAAAUGGGAAAUGAUACCAAAGGAACAAAGCUCAUUUCAAAUCUGUGAAGGAGCAAAGAAUAAUGCACCUGAUACGAACUCACUCGCAACUUCCAAAAAAAUCCAUGAUCUUGCCACAUCUUUACAAGGCUCGGAUAUUAUGCUUACUCUACUAUCCGGAGGUGGAUCGGCUUUAUUACCUUUACCUAAACCGCCUAUAACUUUGGAAGAAAUGAGAGAGAUGGUUGCAAUUAUGGUUAAACAUGCUGCCACCAUAAGUGAUGUAAAUACAGUACGAAAGCAUACAGAAGUUCUUAAAGGCGGUGGCCUAGCUUAUGCUGCAGGGAAUGCUAGUGUUAUAUCUCUUAUUCUAUCAGAUAUAAUCGGAGAUCCAAUAGAUAAAAUCGCAUCAGGACCGACUGUAACUGAUUUUUCAAAGCCAGAAACUUGUAUGGAAAUCUUUAGAGAUCUUAACGUUACGGAUAAAAUUCCAAAGUCAAUAAUUAAAGUGGUCGAAAAUGAAAUUUCAGAAUUUUCUGGACAUAGUGCACUUCCUGUGAUAAGAGAAAUUUACGCCCAUAAUGUCAUUGUAGGUAAUAAUAAACUUGCUGUGUCAGCUGCAAAUAAGGCAGCUGAAGCCUUAGGGUAUAGGACUUUUGUUUUAUCUACUGAGUUAUGCGGCGAAGCAAGAGAUAUUGGAGAAAUAUUCGCUUUUUUUGCCGGGGCUAUCGUCGAUGUCGUUAGUGGGGAUAAAGCUAAAUUUGAUUCUAAACAAAGAUUAGAAGAUUCGUUUGGAAUUUCUGAAAAUGUGAUAAACUGCGUCACAUCACUGGCAGCCUCGGCUCUUAAAUACGGUGAACGAUUUUGUAUGUUAGGAGCUGGCGAAACUGUUGUUAACCUUAAAGGAAAUGGUAAAGGUGGGCGAAAUGGUGAAAUUGCUUUAUCAUCAGCUCUUGUAUUUGAUUUACUUUCCGAAAAAUUAAGAGACUACGAUAUAAAUAUUCUAUCUGCUGGAACAGACGGCCAAGAUGGCCCUACCGAAUCUGCCGGAGCUUUUAGCCAUACUCAUCUUAUACAAGAAGCAAAAGAACAAAAUAUUGAUGCAAAUACUUACCUUGAAAAUAAUGACACUUUUCAUUUUUUUCAAAAGGUCAGUAAUGGCGAAAAUUUAUUUGUUACUGGUAUGACGGGUACAAAUGUUAUGGACCUACACAUAAUGACUGUAGCGAGAAAAUCAUAAUCGAUUACUCUCUUUAAAACUUUUCUUUCCUUCAUUGAUUCAAUCUUUAAACAAUAUUUUUGUCAUGAACAUUUAUUUUCCUUCAGUUUGUGUUAAUUAGUUAAACGUAUAAGAGAUUUACAAGAUCGAAAUUGCAGAGAAUAAAUAUCAAAUUUAGUUUCAACAUACGUGCGAAGAAGUUCAUUGAAUAAAGUAUUCAUAUUAGACAGAUUUUAUUCUCGUUUCAUUGACAUAUUAAAUAAAAUAAAUAAAAUACAGGUUACUUUCGAAAUUUUCAUACGAUUUUUAUGUUUUACUAUACAAUUUUAAACGUAUUACUAAUUAAUAUACAUAUAUAUAUAUUAAUUUAUAUAUAAACUGCAUUUAAUUUGUGUAUAUUUGUAUAAAAAAAAAUUAUUUUAUGAAAAUUUUUCAAUAUAAAAAAAUAAUAAUAAAAGGAGAAAAUUGUACCGACUGGAAUUCUCUCUCUCUCUCUCUCUCUCUC